GUGGGGGAGCAGGAAGGGACAAGCUGUUCUUCUAUUGCAGGGUGAUCGCACUACAAGGCUGCAAUUUUUAUUUGCCCAUCAAGUGAGCUUUUGGUGGAAAUGACACACCACCAGCAGCAUGUUGUCCACGAGAUGGGUGUUGGAUGGGGGGGCGAGCAGGAGAGGACAAGUUGUUCUUCUAUUGGGUGAUCGCACUACAAUCC